AUAUAUAUAUAUUAACCAAAACAUCACCACCACCGCUGCGGCCAUCAUCAUCAUUACCAACAACAACAACAAAUUUAUAACAUAAACAGACAUCAAUAAAAUAAUAAAGAACCAACAUCAGCAAUAACAAAAUCGGCACCGAUAACCCCUAGCGCAUAUGGCAAAGAGUUUGGUGGUUGAUAUCAAGUCCCAUGUUUGAUGCCUAGUUACUUCACAUUUGCAGCUAUGUUCAUUUCUACCAAAAAAAAGAAUGAGACGACUAGCAUGCUAUCUUUCACUCAAAAA
rnacentral:lncRNA from 1 species